CUCAAGCCAGGAUCUUUCCUGAAGCCGCAGAGGCCCAGGUCCUCUGACCCUCUGCUGCUCCACCUCCCUCUGGAGCCUCAGUAGGGCUGGACUCUGGGUGCCCGUCGUUCAGAACCGCCUGGAUUAUUAAAGACAUUUCAAAAGCUAUCGUCACCAAAGUCCGAGUACCAGGAAUCCCGGAGGCCUGCGAGGUUAUUUGAAGGAAGAAACAAGGAACGAGCCUGAAGCAAGAGUCUGACCUCCAGCCCGUCCCACCUGACCCCAACAUUCCGCUUGCAAACCCCAGCAGCUGCAUCCUGGUUGACUCUUCUGCUUUCCAUUCCCUGCUGUGACUGCUCCAGGCCAAGAAUCGCCGCAGGCAGGACGAACGGGCAUUCUGCUCUUGGACUCCUGUGCCUUUGGUCUUGGCAGCCGUGGAACAGCGUGGAGGAGGAGCAGGAUAUUUGCAGAGGAGAAUUCUGGGACUACUCAUGGUCAUUCGUGAGCACAAACACAGCAUGAGACUAAAUGACCAACCUUUUAUAUCAAUAAGGGUUUCCUGGGACCUCGCUUUGAGAAAGAUGAAGAAACUCAGGUUUGAGGAGAACUUGCUCAUGGCCACGGAAGUGGUGAACGGUCGGUCCGGCAAGGAUGCAGACCCAACGCCGGGGCUCUCGGCUCUUCUUCGCGUGGCAUCGGGAGCUCCCCAAAGCAUCGCUGCAGUCCGCUCUAACUUCGUACUGGGCAUCUGUUAAGUCCGUCCUCGAAUAACAGCUCUUCCUUGGGGGAGAUGCCUCUUCCGCACCAGGCGGUGGUGUCCAUCGCAUGCCGUGACUCCCCGUGGCCGCGAGGUCGGUGAUCCAGGCUGGGUAUCAGAGACUCCCAUUUCCCAAGCACAGCGAUGGGCCCAGUUGUGAACUUCUGCCGCAAGCACGGUCAUUCAGAGCCCGCUUUGGAAGACUAUCACGCAUGCUGGGAGAGAGGGUCUUGCCUUCUAAGGUGGUGAGCAUCACGUAAGCUAACAAGGACCACUUUUCUAUCCGGCUAGAGAGAGCCUAUUUGGGUGAGCAGCUCACAUAGAAAAGCGCGGGGCUGAGAGACACUCUCGACGGUGUCGUUUGAGCCCCCAGAUCCAGCCACCCCUGAAGCCUAAGAAGUGAACCAAUAAACUCCUGUUUUUACCUACGCCACUUCAAGGUGGUUUUCUGCCUCUAAACAUUGAAACAACAACAACGGCAACGAAAACUACAAAGAAACUUCAUACACACAAGGGGCAGAAGACUCGAGUUAUCCACGCUGGCCGCCGGCUGCUCUGCGGACAUUUCCACCCUGACCGAGACGGCUCCUCACCGGGGUCUUCUCUCUCCCACUGCUUUCCAUCUUC